rnacentral:rRNA from 2 species
UGGGGAAUAUUGCACAAUGGGGGAAACCCUGAUGCAGCCAUGCCGCGUGUGUGAAGAAGGCCUUCGGGUUGUAAAGCACUUUCAGCGAGGAGGAAAGGUUGAUACCUAAUACGUAUCAGCUGUGACGUUACUCGCAGAAGAAGCACCGGCUAACUCCGUGCCAGCAGCCGCGGUAAUACGGAGGGUGCAAGCGUUAAUCGGAAUUACUGGGCGUAAAGCGCACGCAGGCGGUUGGAUAAGUUAGAUGUGAAAGCCCCGGGCUCAACCUGGGAAUUGCAUUUAAAACUGUCCAGCUAGAGUCUUGUAGAGGGGGGUAGAAUUCCAGGUGUAGCGGUGAAAUGCGUAGAGAUCUGGAGGAAUACCGGUGGCGAAGGCGGCCCCCUGGACAAAGACUGACGCUCAGGUGCGAAAGCGUGGGGAGCAAACA